rnacentral:lncRNA from 1 species
AUCAGGAGAAGGCAGGAACGAGGGCUGUCCGAGGCGUAGUUUUCAAAGGAUCAGAGGCAUUACUGGAAGACUGGGACGAGUCGUUGGAUCGCAACCCAAGCCAAGAGGAAACGUGUUUUGUGUGAAGACAUUGUCAAAUCAUCAGUAAAGGUCAGUCUAUUUUGUUAUGACAUGAAUGUAUGGUUUGGGUAUUAAAUAACACAAUGAAAAUUGAGCUACACAAUCACUAUAAAAAUUUCAUCAAACCUCAAUCAAUUUGUUACUGAUAAAUCAUAAUAGUUCAUUAUAAAUAAAAUAAAUUUGGAGACAAAAAGAAA